rnacentral:other from 1 species
GGCGGGCUACGUGGUUUGACCGGGUUAUCAAUCCCUGGGGCCUUACUCAUCCUUAAGGGAACUGUCACUGAUUAGGCUCGUGGAUCUUUUCACACGGUGCCCACCUACUCUGUAGGUUCCCAGGAUGUCAAACACCUGACUUGCCAAGGUGGCUCGCCG